AGGAAUUUGCCCCCCAAACAGUUUGCCGUGAUAUCCAACCCGAAGAAGUGAAACUGCUGUGGGUCUGGAGAGGUGAAGCCCCGUGGCCAGCUUCUGUCGCUGCCAUCUGCCAUUGCUUUUUGUUCCCUUGCUUUUGGUUUUGCAAGCAUGGCCUCUGUCUCUGUCUGAUCUGC
ensembl:misc_RNA